CAAACCGUAGGACAUCUGAGGGAGUAGAAAACCAAAGCAUUCAGGCAGUUCCCACCAAGAGGUGAGGGGCAGUGAAUAUGACUGGUUCAUACUGACUGAGCAAGAGACGGAGGUGAAAGUGGUGUAAUAGUCCUUGGCCUUCUGGAACUCAGUCUCACUGAGUGUGUUCAGAAAGUGAAAAACUGUGUGAGGCAGAACAGGUCUAGUGAGCCGAGGGACAGAGAUUCACAUCUGUAACAGCUCGGAGGGAAAAGGUCUCUGCGGCCAAAGUCAUGGCUUCGUUACACAGGCAGAUUAAUGUUAGCAGCCACAGUGUUUGUCAGGAUAGUGUACGUGUGAAAGCAUGGGUCUGCAGUCUAUAUGUGUGGCCACAUUCUUCCUCACCACAACUCUGAAAUCAGCAACAGUCCGCUCAGCUUAAAGGGUUUUAGGUCACCCUGGGAGCGAUGGUGGGGUUGGGCUUUCCUUCUGACCAUAGUACUGCCUGAUUUGGACCCGGGAACUCCAGCCCAUGCUGUCCCUCUGCAGACUUUAUGAACCAGUGCUUACCCUCUGGGAAGGUGAACGGGGCCAAGGGUGCCUACCGUAUGCCUGCCCUUAAAGACUAAAGGGUGGGCCGUUCCUUGAAGGAAAGCUGCCCAAGGAAUUUGUGCUGUAAUCUGUAUAGCAGAACAUUUUUCUGACAUGAGAAGAGCUUAGCUGGGCUCGUGGUACACCUGUAAUCCCAACUAGGAAGGCAAGGGUCAGAAGUUCAAGGCCAGCCUGGACUGUACACUAUUUGAGUUCAGGCUGGUUAUGUAGACAAAGGAAAGGGUGUUGGGGGAAGGGGUGUCUAAGAUACGUGGGGAGGCAAAGAUACAUGCAGAACAAUGUGUAACAUUUUUUGUUAAUUUGUGUGUAAAAACAAAACUUUUUGCCUUUUUCUUUGUCUACACUUAGAGGCUCUGAUCCUAGCACUCCAGAGUGACACCAUUUUGAAGGGAAGGUUUUCUCACGUCUUGUACUGAAUGUGUCUGUGCAAGUACUUGCCAGGCUUGUUAUGGAAAUGCGCCUCUAAAGGGACAGACACCCUUUGGUAGGCUGGCAGGUGAGAAGGGCAUUAGCCGUGGUUUCCUCUGGGAAGAGGGUGGACACAGUUGGCAGAGGCCGCUUCUAAGCCUUGGCAACUGAACAGGCUUGCUUUUACUCUCACCCCGCUUCUUAGCAAGCUUGUUCCAUUUCACUCAAAUGCCCCUUCAGGACAGCUAAGCUGAGAACAAAGGCAGCAGGGCCUCCCUUCUGUGCUGCUCUCUGGCUUUCUCAGCGUCUUUCCCUUUUCUCACCCCUGGGUAAACUGCAACCAGCACAGCACCUAGUACUCAUUUCUCCUCAUCUCUACAAUAGUCCUGCAGAUCCAUACCCCUGCCUCUUGGUCCUGAUGACAGCCUUGGCAACCCAAGGUCAUCAUACUUUGAUCUCCUUAGACCAGCACUGAGAUGCUUUGCUCAACAAAAUACCUGCCCUCGAACACAAGGAAGGGUCUUCCUUACAGCAGGCACGGAGGAAGGGGCGUCACUGCCACCAUCGUCCAAAUGUCUCAGUGUGACACUAGUAUGUACUCACAGGCUCAUGGAUGCCCUGGAGGCCUUCAGGUAUAGGGCUUCUCAACAUGUGUUGGGUAAUUAGCCCCUUUGAGCAUCUUAAGGUUAUCAGGGGCCGUGUCUCAAAGGGAAAGAUGCUAUUCUUUUUUCUUUUCUUUUUUUUUUCUUUUUUGGUUCUUUUUUUCAGAGCUGGGGACCAAACCCAGGGCCUUGUGCUUCCUAGGCAAGCGCUCUACCACUGAGCUAAAUCCCCAACGAAAGAUGCUAUUCUUUAGGGAAGCAGGACAAAAGGUAUUCUCUUGCCCUCCCACAACAUAUGUCAUGGACAAUGUAUAAAUGACAGGUCUGGGGCCGAAGGUUUGGGUUUGAGCGCUUGCUUAGCAUGCAGGGAACUCUGGGUUGAGCUCCUGAUGCUUCAUAAUUAUUAGAUUCACAUUGGCUUCCUUUUGUUUUCCUUAUAUUCCAGACAGAGGAUUGAUUUUUAAAUCCAUGUGUAGGUGUGUUACAUUAUCUGUAAAUUUCAUUUCAGAAUAGCAAUGGGGACAGUAGACACUAUUUAUAAGAAGGAAAUGUUGGUUCUUAGAUUCAGAACCACUUCUCUGAGGAGUCCAUGGACCCCAGAAGGAAAUCUGCUCUGCCCACGUCUCUCGUAUUAUGGCAAAGGGAAACAAAGUCCGUUCUUUAAAGGUACUUGGAUUCCUAGCACUUUGGAAGAGUCAGUGACAAAGCUUGACAUUUUCAGCAAUAGGUACUGGUGCCCAGCUGGCCUCUUCUCCCUGGUGCUGUCCGACCUCUUCCUACAGCAUUUGAGAUCUUCCUAACUAUACUGUAUCCUCCCACUCAAAGCCCAGACUUUUCUUCACUCUUUCCAUCCCUAGUCGAACAUUUAACACAGUAGGCUCGCACUCAGAAAGUGAUUGGGAAGAAAAGGUGAGACCCAUCCAAAGGUUUAAUAUACCUGAACACAGGCCAGAGAAGCCCAGGAAGAUUGCGUUCAUACUAUUUGAAGCUGACAUAGCCAGAGGCUUGAUUGUCUAUGGGGUGGCAAUGCUGCACUGUACAGGGGUUAUCUGGCCUUCAGAAGCACUUCCCUCCCACAGGUAAGCUUUUACCUAAUCCAUGAUCUCAACAACCUACUUCCAAAUGACACCCGACCCCACCUCUCCUACCUCGCUGCCUCUCCAUCUGGGAAGGAGAACUUUAUGCCUCGACCUGACUCUGCUCCUCCAGCAAAUACACAGGUCGCAGACAGAUUCAGAAACCCGAGGCUGCUGUCAUCAUGGCGACUGACCAGCUCCACAACCUCAGGAACCUGCUUCAUCCGAGCUGCCUGCUGAGGACUGUGAAGACAGCAAAAUGGACGGAGGGUAUGUGAGAGGGCUUUGUAUAUUACCUCUCCCAGGAAAGGAUACAAACAUUAAAAUCAAAGCCAAAUGGGGCAAAGGCAGGAACUGUGGAGCUCGCGGCAGGACCAGAAGUCUUGAAUCCACGGGCUUUCACCCAGUGAUGCUGACCUCCCGUUUUCUCCCACCCUUCAUUGGGCCCAGUCAUGCCCCACGUAGCGAGCACUUCACUGUACACUGUACCCUGCCCGCUUCACCUGUGUGCCUAUUGCCUUUGGGCUAAUUGGCUGCAUUUUGUUGUUUUUCUAACCAAAUCCUCUCCUGAUUGGAGCAAUUAAUUAACUCUCGAAUUGACUCUCAAUGCUGAAAACCAUUUCCCCAGGAAAUACCAGCCUGGCACCGUCCCUGAAUACCAGAAACCACUCUAACGAUGGAGACCAUUCAGCAGACUAUAAGCCAGCAGCUCCAGGCCAGGCACUAGCCUGUAUCCUCUGCACAGAUGACUGGAACCCUGACCGCCCUGUGGCUCCACCCUCAGUGGGCUCCUCCUACUCUGCCUGCACUUGAACUUGGAUAUCCCAGGGAGUUCCCUUCAGACUCCUGCAUGCUCAGCAUAGGUAAGUCUUGCAUGGCCAGCCUCAGGGUUCCACACUCGUCCUAAGAGUUGUCACUCUGGCUGAAUAUUACUAUCCAUUCAUGCUUUUAACUUCCGUGCCGCCUGUUGAAUUCUGAUGUUUUGCUUUCUAGGUAAGCUGUAAGUCCAGCCAGUCUUUCCUCCUUUUUCCCUGAGGCCGCUGCCUCAGUUUACCCCAUCUCUUACCUGGGCAACAGCAUGGCGUGCGAACCAGCCUCUGGCUGUCAUGGCCUUGUUGGUAAUGGUUCCGGUCUCUGGUUCCCACUGGCCUCAUCACCAGAAGCUCCCAGCUCACCUUUAACGACGAACAGCC
rnacentral:sRNA from 1 species